UGCAGUUGAUACUGGAUAUCUUGAGUGCAGUUGAGGCAGGCGGAAUUCGUGGUGUAGCGGUGAAAUGCUUAGAUAUCACGAAGAACUCCGAUUGCGAAGGCAGCCUGCUAAGCUGCAACUGACAUUGAGGCUCGAAAGUGUGGGUAUCAAACAGGAUUAGAUACCCUGGUAGUCCACACGGUAAACGAUGAAUACUCGCUGUUUGCGAUAUACGGCAAGCGGCCAAGCGAAAGCGUUAAGUAUUCCACCUGGGGAGUACGCCGGCAACGGUGAAACUCAAAGGAAUUGACGGGGGCCCGCACAAGCGGAGGAACAUGUGGUUUAAUUCGAUGAUACGCGAGGAACCUUACCCGGGCUUAAAUUGCAGAUGAAUUACGGUGAAAGCCGUAAGCCGCAAGGCAUCUGUGAAGGUGCUGCAUGGUUGUCGUCAGCUCGUGCCGUGAGGUGUCGGCUUAAGUGCCAUAACGAGCGCAACCCUUGUUGUCAGUUACUAACAGGUUCCGCUGAGGACUCUGACAAGACUGCCAUCGUAAGAUGUGAGGAAGGUGGGGAUGACGUCAAAUCAGCACGGCCCUUACGUCCGGGGCUACACACGUGUUACAAUGGGGGGUACAGAGGGCCGCUACCACGCGAGUGGAUGCCAAUCCCAAAAACCUCUCUCAGUUCGGACUGGAGUCUGCAACCCGACUCCACGAAGCUGGAUUCGCUAGUAAUCGCGCAUCAGCCACGGCGCGGUGAAUACGUUCCCGGGCCUUGUACACACCGCCCGUCAAGCCAUGGGAGCCGGGGGUACCUGAAGUGCGUAACCGCGAGGAGCGCCCUAGGGUAAAACUG
rnacentral:rRNA from 1 species